rnacentral:rRNA from 1 species
CCCUUAGAUGUCCGGGGCCGCACGCGCGCUACACUGAAGGAAUCAGCGUGGCUUUCUCCCUGACCCGAAAGGGUUGGGAAACCCGUUGAAUCUCCUUCGUGAUAGGGAUUGGGGCUUGAAAUUGUUCCCCAUGAACGAGGAAUUCCCAGUAAGCGCGAGUCAUAAGCUCGCGUCGAUUACGUCCCUGCCCUUUGUACACACCGCCCGUCGCUACUACCGAUUGAACGGUUUAGUGAGGGCCUCGGAUUGGUCUCGGCCCGCUCUUUACCGGGCGGCGCCGUUGGUCGAGAAGACGCUCGAACUUGAUCGUUUAGAGGAAGUAAAAGUCGUAACA